GACGUAGGGGGCGAGCGUUGUCCGGAAUUACUGGGCGUAAAGCGCGUGCAGGCGGUCCGCUAAGUCUCGUGUGAAAUCCUCCGGCCCAACCGGAGAACGCCGCGGGAUACUGGCGGGCUUGAGGGCGGUAGAGGGUGAUGGAAUUCCCGGUGUAGCGGUGAAAUGCGUAGAUAUCGGGAGGAACGCCAGUGGCGAAGGCGGUCACCUGGGCCGUCCCUGACGCUGAGACGCGAAAGCUGGGGGAGCGAACGGG
rnacentral:rRNA from 1 species